CGGGUAGGUUGGUGAUAGGGAGGUCAAUUCUGCACUUCCAAAAUGAGUUAGUUCAAUUAAGAACUUCAAUACCAGAAGAUAGGCCCUUAUAGUCAGUUUACCCCGAGUUGAAUCCUUAUUUGUUGGGACUUGAAGGAAGACCUGAUUGAGAGCUGCUUGGCGCCUUUGUUACUGUUGCUCCACUACUUAUAUUGUAGCGGACUACUUAUUAGAUUAGGUCCUCGUAGACUACUUACAGAGCUUAUUUCGUAGACUACUUACAGAGCUUAUUAGGUCUAAACCCUAACUCUUCUUGAUUGAAAUGAAGAAAAUCAUAUUUCUUGAGAAUGACCCGCCUCCGCCUCCGCAAGUGCAACAUCUGUUUCUUAAUACUGAUAUCGCUGAAGAUCUUGUAUCUAAUCAGGCAUCUCAUCUUUUAUCUCUUAGAACUCGCAAGUCCAAUUCUUAUACUACAUUGGUUAGGUUAAGAGCUGAGGGGUAGUUACUCUCUCUUUAGGAGCUGUCUAAGACCGAAGAGCAAUCCAUGUUAUUACCAAGUCAGACAAGCGUAUACUAGAAUGCGGGCCAAGUAGAAAAAGUAAGGGUGAAUACUGAUACUGAGAAUGACUAUACCUCUGGCAACUAUUAACUGAAUGAAACUGAUGGAAUUCUUGAUGGCAACUAUUCACUGAAUGAGGAACUAUUAACUGAAUUCGGUAUACCUCUCCUCUAAUGCGCUAGAUCUAUCCCACCUAGUAGUUACGGAAUGACCUAGUGUCUUCUUAAAGCAGAAUUCCCCUCAUUAGUCUAAGGCUAGAGGUGGAAACAAAGAUGAACCUCAUCAGUAUAAGAAUCAAACUAGAAACUAGGAAUUGUACUCUGUAGUCAAAGAACAAAUCCCGAGCAUAGGCCUUCCGCUCCCCGAUCUACAUCUGUAUUGUGUCCUCUUGAGUUGAAGCCUGCAACUACUUUAUCUCCUUCUGAAACUCCUGUCUUCCAUUCCUAUGUGUGGGGUUCAGUCCGCUACUCGUUAGCCUCGCCCCGCAACUCCAAUAAGCACUCUCUCUAACCAAUAUACAUUCCAAUAAGCUAAUGUGCGACGGCUUCUGUAACUCUCUCCUUAAGAAAAGAAUCCGCACCUAACACCAAUAUGGAAUAGUGUAACCUAAACCUCCACUCAUUUAUGGAAUGGAAUUGCUGUCCCCACAGAUAUAUAGAAUUGGGUAACCAAACAGAACUCCAAAGCCACCCCACCCAGAGACGAAGUCCGCAAUCGGUUCGGCUUCAUUCUCGUCGUUUCCCAUAGGUGUGACGACUCUUAUGUAAAAGUAGCUAUAUUGGCUCCCUAUCAGUUGUUCUAGUGCAUUGAGACGCCUAAUAACAGUUACAUGAAUUCCCC
rnacentral:lncRNA from 1 species